rnacentral:tRNA from 1 species
GGCUUGAUAGUUCAGUGGCAGAAUUCAUGCUUUGGGUAUCCACUCAAAAUCUGUAUGAGGUCCUGGGUUCAAUCCCCAGUCAAGCCC